rnacentral:rRNA from 1 species
AUUGAACGCUGGCGGCAGGCCUAACACAUGCAAGUCGAGCGGAUGAAGGGAGCUUGCUCCUGGAUUCAGCGGCGGACGGGUGAGUAAUGCCUAGGAAUCUGCCUGGUUGUGGGGGAUAACGUCCGGAAACGGGCGCUAAUACCGCAUACGUCCUGAGGGAGAAAGUGGGGGAUCUUCGGACCUCACGCUAUCAUAUGAGCCUAGGUCGGGUUAGCUAGUUGGUGGGGUAAGGGCCUACCAAGGCGACGAUCCGUAACUGGUCUGAGAGGAUGAUCAGUCACACUGGAACUGAGACACGGUCCAGACUCCUACGGGAGGCAGCAGUGGGGAAUAUUGGACAAUGGGCGAAAGCCUGAUACAGCCAUGGCGCGUGUGUGACGAAGGUCUUCGGAUUGUAAAGCACUUUAAGUUGGGAGGAAGGGCAGUAAGUUAAUACCUUGCUGUUUUGACGUUAACAACAGAAUAAGCACCGGCUAACUUCGUG